GCCCUCCUUAAAAGCACUUGCCCUGCCUUUUCAGUGACUGGGUGAGGUGUCAUGGAAGGGGAGAGAAAUGCAUCACUCUUGGGUGAGGUGGCAGCAUGUGCUGUUAACCUCAGUCCGUGGUGCAACAGUA